rnacentral:lncRNA from 1 species
GUUUCUAGAAGGCUCCUAGCCUAUCCAAAACAAUAGAAAAAUAAAUGUAAAUAACUUGAUAUUUUUUACGGGCGUAAUAAAUAAAAAAAAAAAAAAUUUGUAGAAAGAGAUCUACUUGAGUGGUUGCCAGGUCUUGAACCUGGUCAGGAUGGACAUGGUAAUGAAGGUGAUAGGGCAGAAAGUGGUGACCAGUUAAUUAAUGAGGAUGAAAGUGACGAGGACGAAAUCACCCAUGCUGCCAUUCAAGUGCAUUGGAGCUGCUCAUGAGAAAAACUACCAACAUCAUUUGGAACAGACAUAUCUUGCUCUUCAUGGACAAGAUAAACCAGUGGCAGUGAAUGUAAGAAUGCGGCCAAAGCCAUUGAAUCCAAUGGAUCCAAGUGCAAUUCUACAUCAAUUACAAUUGAUGCAGACUAUGGAACUGGAUGGACACAUGUGAUGUUGGUUAUAUUGCUUUUGAACUAUGCAAGUAUUUGCACCCACUAAUUACCGCAGGCGAUAUCUUAGGGGUCAUUAGUUCAGUAUUUCAAGUAUAGGGUUGACCUUUUUAAAAUAGGAAUUUAUCCAAAAAUGUUCUUGAGUGGGAGACUCAAGUGGUACGGAACAGCAUGAGUCUACGUUGGCAGAUGUUUCUGAUAUAAUAGUAACUGACUAGGUUUAGCAAGUUAUAGAAUGGUGUUAAUUAUUUGGCUAACUUUUUAGAUUUUUUUCAGCAUUUUUAAACAAAAACUAGGUUAAUUAAUCAUAAGUGGGUGCAAUUAAAAUAUGCACACUCAUACAAUUAUUAAGUACAUAAUUGUAACAAUUGCCUGUACUAAAUGAAUAAAUAAAUAAAGAGUUUAUACAUUCACUUGACCAACUUUGUGAGUAAUGUUUCAUUAAAAUUAAUGCAACAAUAAAACAAAAAUAUGUCUAUAUAUGCACAUAUGUCCCACAAUAACAUGCUGCUGAUCCUUUGUGGUACAUUACAUGAGAAUACAAAAAAAAACUUUAUAUAAUUGUACCUAUAAAUGUUAAGUCACAGAGGGGGUGGUGUUGGGCAUAUGUGGGGUAUUUGAUCACCAAUUGCAUCCCCACCAUUGGGAUUGUGAUUAGCAUUUUGGGCCUAAGUUAGGGCAAUUUGACCCAAAAUGACUUUUAUUAAUAUAGUAUUUAUUGCAAAAUGGUGGUGUAUUUGACCAAUAUUUAUUGCCCUACAGUGAAGCAUUUGAUUGAAAAUUUGCUCAAAAAAUCAAAUGCCCCACAUAUG